GACCCAGACUGGGCAAAAUCCUAAACAUGGCUAAGGCACCAUGACUCUCAGUCCAGAGACAGGAUAGCUAUGUGACUCAGAGGCAGGCAUGGGGAGAAACAUCCCAGUCACCAGCCCAGACAAGCCAGUGCCCUCUUCCAGGUCCUCAGGCACCUCUGCAAAAAACAUUCAUUUUGGUCAAUUCCAGGGAUGAUGUGGCCUAAUGCCCGUGGCACAAGGAGUUACUAAGUGAAGCCAGUGUUCAAUCUUGCUGAGGUCACAGGAAUGCAUUUACUGGAGCUGUCACUCAUCCCGAGCCACUCCGUCUCAGCUCUCCAGCCGGCCUGACCGAGCCACGUGGCUGCCUGUAAUUUACUGGUUGAUAGACCCAAAUCACUGCGCAGACCUUGCCGGUGGCACAAGUUAAGGACAAGUUCUCUGCAAAUUGGUUGCCAAACAGGCCUUGAAAAAGACAAGAUGCUCUAGCCAAAACCAUGAGACGUGCUUUAGAUAAACUUCCUGGAUGGGUGCUUAUCGGCCACCUG